rnacentral:tRNA from 1 species
GCCGGACUAGCUCAGCUGGUAGAGCAACUGAUUUGUAAUCAGUAGGUCGUUGGUUCAAAUCCGACGUCCGGCACCA